rnacentral:RNase_P_RNA from 1 species
GAAGCUGGUCGGGUAGCCGCUCCAGCCUUUUUUGUUCUUUGACUGGGGAGGAAAGUCCGAACUCCGCAGGGCAGGGUGCCCCGUAACGCGGGGACGCCGUAAGGCGUGGAAAGUGCCACAGAAACUAUACCGCCCCUAUUAGGGGUAAGGGUGAAAUGGUGCGUCCCACAAUUAAGUGGGAUAUCUCGCCGUUGGCGAGAGAGUAAGAGCGCACCGUCCCAACGGCGACGUUGGGAGCAGGGCAAACCCCACUCGGAGCAAGACCAAGUAGGGAAGAGGGAUUGCCCGUCCCGUUUGAUUCCCGGGUAGGUCGCUUAAUCCCGGUCGUAAGGCCGAGGAUAGAUAAAUGGCUACCGUCCCGCUGUAGGCGGGAUACAGAAUUCGGCUUACAGACCAGCUUCAGAU